rnacentral:rRNA from 1 species
ACAAUAAGAAGUAAUUAAGAGCGUAUGGCGGAUGCCUUGGCUCUCAGAGGCGAUGAAGGACGUGAUAAGCUGCGAUAAGUCAUGGAGAGGUGCAAAUAACCUUUGACCCGUGAAUUUCCGAAUGGGGCAACCCACCUGUUUUAAUAGGUAUCCAGCAAUGGAAGCAAACCCGGAGAACUGAAACAUCUAAGUACCCGGAGGAGAAGAAAACAAAAGUGAUUCCCCUAGUAGUGGCGAUCGAACGGGGAUCAGCCCAAACCUAUAUUGUUUCGGCAAUGUAGGGGUUGUAGGACUGCAAUACGAGAAGUGGCGUGAAGUGGAAGUGUUUGGAAAGACACACCGCAGGGGG